AGUGGAUAAGGAUGUGAGGCUUCGAAGACAGCUAGGACGUUGGCUCAGAAGCAGCCAUGCAUUGAAAGAGUGCGUAAUAGCUCACUAGCCGAGAGGCCCUGCGCCGAAAAUGUCCGGGGCUGAAACGCGCCGCCGAAGCCCGGGACGGACGGGGAUGCCCGUCCGUGGUAGGGUAGCAUUGCCAGCCCGGCGAAGCCGCACCGGCGAGGAGCGGUGGAGGGCUGGGAAGAGAGAA
rnacentral:rRNA from 1 species